ensembl:lncRNA
UGUUAACCUCCUGGGGUGGAUGUGGUGGGUUGGUACAGCUGUAGUGUACUCUGAGGAGUGUAUGAGAACAGCUGCCUCUCUGAAAAAGUCUGAAGCCCUGAAGAACGUUUAUAGAUGUCUUAAUACUGUCGUAAAGAAUUUAAAGUCUUAAAGAAUUAAAGUCUUACAAUUGAUAAUAUGGUGGAUCUCUUUCAAUCUCAACAGUUUUUUUUAAAAAUCGAUUCAGACUCAGAUUUAAUGUGCUUAUUUUUAUUUCCCUCUUUAUGUCACUGGGAAACGUAUGUGGAUGUUAUUUAACCAAGUAAAUACGAGGUUUUUAAUCCACGACGAUGAAGCAUUGACCUGAUCUUCUGUUCUCCUGUUAUUGGUCUGGCGUGAACGUCAGCUCAACCAAUGGGCUUCUCCGAUACUGAACCAUGCCAAAGACUAAUGUGCAGCGCUUACAUACAUACUGGAGGAGAUGCAACUCCAUGUCACUAUAUUCUCUUUAGAUUACACAUAUCCUGUCAGAGAGUAGGUUAGAUUAGACUGAAAACAUCUGGGUUCAUUACACUUUUUUUAAUUUGAUGUGCACAGUGUCAUGUGUACAAUGUCAUCAUUUUUGAUGUGCACUGUGUUCCUUCUCUCUGCUGGGCUGUUGUUGCUUAUGGCGAUGGAACAAGCAAAGAUGGCCGUCAGUGGGGCAGUGUCUGUGUGAAGGAAUGUCAUGGUAAUGGGAGAGACGCAGGAGAGAGCAACACACCACACACUGAGUGGCCUGGAAGCGGCUCCUGGAAGCGGCUCCUGGAAGCGGCUCCUGGCCCUGGCAUGCUACUCACUAUGGAAGAAAACAGCAUGCUGUGUUUAAACUCAGCUGGAUUCUCCUGAGAACACUAGCCUGCUGUAAAACAGACUAAAUACAGCCUUUUAUAGAGAAUUACAAACUGGGUGGUUCAAGCCCUGAAUGCUGAUUGGCUGACAGCCGUGGUACAUCAGACCGUAUACCACGGGUAUGACAAAACAUUUAAUUUUUACUGCUCUAAUUACAUUGGUAACCAGUUUCUAAUAGCAAUAAGGCACCUUGGGGGUUUAUAUAGCUAAUAUACCACGGCUAAGGGCUGUGUCAAGGCACUCCACGCUGCGUCGUGCCUAAGAACAACCCUUAGCUGUGGUAUAUUGGCACUACAGGGGGGCUGUGCCUUAUUGCUUAAUUACAGGCUGGCUUCCUGGACUCACAUGAAUCCUACUGGACCAAAACUGCUGAAUCUGUGUCCAGGAAACUGGUCCUAUGUGUUGUUAAUGUGGUAAUCUGGAGUAGGAAGUCCUCAUGUUGAGAUCAUGUGGUUUGUCUGGACCAAUACGAUGCUCAUGUUUAGUUUCUUAAUCACAUCUGGUGAACCAGCCAGUUAGUCAGUCUUGAUUCUGUGGGUGGGAUAGAGCGAUGUGAUUGGCUGACUAAGGUUAUUUGGAGUGAUGCUGUCUGCUUAACUAUAAUGUCUGAAUCCCAAAUGGUUCCCUGUUCCUUAUAUGGUGUGCUUCCUGUUGACCAGGGCCCAUAGGGUGUAACCCAGGCUAUAGUAACCUGGCUCUGUGCUCUGCUCUGUCCAUAAUCUGAUCUUAAUCAUGUAUAUUGUUAUAGUUGACCAUCUCAUCAUGUUUAACCCUCACACACAUUCCACACCGUCACACACACACCUGUGUGUGUCAAGGAAAUGUAAAGAUUAUUUCAAUUUUUUUUUUUUUGUUGAAUGUUGAAGCUCCAUGUCUGAGACUAAAGAGUAGAGGAAGUAGGAAGCUGUACUGUUAAUAUUAACCACCAAGCCUGGUAGAAAGGCCAUGUCAACUAUAAUACGUCCUCAACCAAUAAAUGUUUUUACAUACGCUGUC